rnacentral:rRNA from 1 species
GUUUGAUCCUGGCUCAGGAUGAACGCUGGCGGCGUGCUUAACACAUGCAAGUCGAACGGUGAAGCCCAGCUUGCUGGGUGGAUCAGUGGCGAACGGGUGAGUAACACGUGAGCAAUCUGCCCCUGACUCUGGGAUAAGCGCUGGAAACUGCGUCUAAUACUGGAUACGAGCUGCGAUCGCAUGGUCAGUAGCUGGAAAGAUUUUUUGGUCAGGGAUGAGCUCGCGGCCUAUCAGCUUGUUGGUGAGGUAAUGGCUCACCAAGGCGUCGACGGGUAGCCGGCCUGAGAGGGUGACCGGCCACACUGGGACUGAGACACGG